AUCCAGCUAACGACUCCAAAAUAGGACGAAACGCGCGUCCUGGAU
rnacentral:hammerhead_ribozyme from 1 species